rnacentral:miRNA from 1 species
CAGGGGAUCCAGUUCCGGUUGUGCC